rnacentral:tRNA from 1 species
UCCCCGGUAGCUCAGAGGUUAAAGCGUCUGCCUGCAAUGCAGGAGACAUGGGUUCGAUCCCUGGGUUGGGAA